rnacentral:rRNA from 1 species
UAGUAGGCGGCGGAAGAUAACCCAAAAGGGAUUCCUUCAGUAAUGGCGAAUGAACGGGGAAAAGCUCAGCAAAGAAAUCAGGGACCCCGUCCUUGAGUUGUGGACUUGAGAGGUAUUGCCAAUGGUGGCGCAGGUGCGGGCCUCUUGGAAAAGGGCACCACAGAGGGUGUGAGUCCUGUUUGUCAUCUGUAGUCCGCCAUGUACGGCGUGCCUCCUCAGAGUCACGUUCCUUGGAAUUGGAGCGCGAAGGUGGUGGUGGCUUUCAUCUCAAGCUAAAUAUGGGUUCGAGACCGAUAGCAAACAAGUACCAUGAGGGAAAAUUGAAAAGAGCUUUGGAAAGAGAGUUAAAAGUGCCCGAACUUGCUGAUAGGGAAGCGAAGGGAGCUGACGUUGCUUGGUGACAUUUUCCGCGCAAGUGUAGGAUGGGUUCUGAUUGCGAUGUGCGUAGUGCUUCUUGCCGUGCGUGUCGAUGCCAAGCAACAAGUGGGGAGAGCACCAGGGAUAUGAUUGUUCUGUCCCCGGGUGGACGAAGGUGCCUGGUCGCAUCCAUUUGUGGGCUGAAACAAGUGGUGGCUGGUUGCAGCGCUCCAUAACUGCCAGGCAGUUGGGGUGUAGCCCUGAUACGCAGACGAGGACAAAGUGCUUCUGUUCGACCCGUCUUGAAACACGGACCAAGGAGUCUGACACUCAUGCAAGCUCGCGGGUGGGUAAACUUGUUCGCGUAAUUAAGGUGUCUGUUGUGAUUUUUGCACCAACGCCCGACCAAUCAAUUGAGAGAGGUUUGAGUGUGAGCAUUUCUGUCAGGACCCGAAAGAUGGUGAACUAUGCUUGAGAAGGGUAAGUUCAGGGGAAACUCUGAUUGAGGCUCGUAGCGAUACUGACGUGCAAAUCGUUCGUCAUACUUGGGUAUAGGGGCGAAAGACUAAUCGAACCAUCUAGUAGC